GGUUUUUGUUUUUGUUUUUUAAUGUAUCCACUUAAAAUCAUAUCUCUGCCUAGAGAGCAAAUGGGGCUUGGGGUAAAGGUCUUCGAAGACGAUGAGCUUUGCAAAUCAAGGGAGAAAAGUCUUAAUCCAAGAAGAUUCUGCAGUAUGACAACAGGCAGUUGUCACAUAGGACAAAGUUGUUUGAUUCCAAUAACAAAAUCAGGGAGAUCUUCAGGGUACAUCCUAGAGUAUAACUGCUUUCUUCCUUACAUCUGGAGAGUUUAGGUGCAAAAUAUUAAGAUCUAUCAUGGCAGUCAUAAAACAAUUUGUAUUUUUAUUCACCAAAGGAAUAGAUAUCAACUGAAGACCAAAAGACGCUAGAACCAAGGAUGCUCAGUAAAAAUAGCUACUGUGUGCUAAGCAUAUACUGUAUGCCAAGCUCCUUGAUAUGUAUAUUUUUUUUCAUUAAAUCUUCACAAAGACCCUAUGAAGUAAGAUCUAUCCUGUUUUUGUACAUGAAUACUUCAGAGACCUCUAGUCAUAAGUGAUAGACCCUGCAUUCAAAUCCAGACCCUUCCACCUCCAAGUCCAGGCUGUUAAUCACCAAAAUUCAGUCUGGGUCUAUCCUGACAGAUGAUCAGACAGAUGAUCAGACUGAUUCUGGUGUUUGAUUUGCAUGACUAAUAAAGUUGAAGGGAUAAAGAAUGAUUGCCAACUUCCCUAGACACCUCCACUGUGCUGAGUAGGAGCCGUGGAUCUCUGCAGAUUUGCUAGUAAAGGAAUAGUGCAGUGGUAUAAGGCUGGAGUGAAAGGGGAGGCUGGGAGUGCUGACUUUGAACAUGGUCAUUGAAAGGGCUGUUACUUGAAAAAUUUCGCAGUGUCAAGGCUGAGCAGGGAUCCAGCUGUGAACAGCCCUCUGAAGAGUGUUGAUAGAAUCUGGGCUGUCCAGCUGUGGGGGGCCCGGAAGUGCUUGAGAAGGUGACAAGCACUGAAGUCCUCCCUUAGCCCUUCCCAGCAGCUGCGGCCAUGAACAGAAGCUGCAGAGACUCCCUGCAGUCCAACAGCAGAGAGAAACUUCUUCCUGGAUGGCAUAAAGAGAACACAUAGGUCCGUGCUGGAAACUUGAAGUGACUGCUAAACUCAGCUCCAAAUGAGCAAAUUGGGAGAUUAGCUUCCUUAGAGCACGUGAUUCCACAGGUGGCACAUGGGCUGAGUGAAGAUGCAUGAUAACUCCAAAGCAAGUUGGGGUACUGCCCUUCAUAAAAGUAGUGUGU
rnacentral:lncRNA from 1 species